UACGUAGGUGGCGAGCGUUGUCCGGAUUUACUGGGCGUAAAGAGCGCGCAGGCGGUCGUGCAAGUCGCGUGUGAAAGCCCCCGGCUCAACUGGGGAGGGUCACGCGAUACUGCUCGACUUGAAGGCAGGAGAGGGAAGUGGAAUUCCCGGUGUAGUGGCGAAAUGCGUAGAUAUCGGGAGGAACACCAGUGGCGAAGGCGACUUCCUGGCCUGUUCUUGACGCUGAGGCGCGAAAGCUAGGGUAGCAAACGGG
rnacentral:rRNA from 1 species